GUUUAACCUAUCACAAACUCAAAUUUCAUUCUUCUCAUCCACAAUUUCCCACACCUCGAUCCCGUCAGCAAUAGUCAACUUCCAAGUUUUAAAUUCAACACUUUGAUACAAUUCGUUCGCAGUUGCUAUUGCCUUUCUAUGCCACGGCCCAAGUCCUCCACGUCUCGCGUCCUCCUUGCUUCGCCAGAUACCUGAUGAUCAUGAAAGAGUUUAAAUCAGCCCAAUGAUAUUGACCCAACGUCCACCCAGAGAAAAACACGAAGAAACGGGGGGAACCAACAGGCCCACUUCCACUUACAGGUUGCCAAAUUCCUAAAUUUCUCAUCCUUGAUCCCAAACCAGUAUUUCAACAGCCCACCGCUCACAGUAGCUUCCCAAUGAGAAUAUAAGUCGAGCUCCAUGAGCCUGUCGGAAUCUGCUGUUGGAAGCAGGACGGAUCGAAACGUCACGACAUGGAAUGACAGUUCCUUCCACUCAUGGCCUUCUGCAAUUGCCAGGUCCCUCAGCACGUCCAUCACAAACUUCCAAUUGAACGAUUCAACAUAUUCUGCUACCGCAUAAUCGGAUCGGAUGGGUUUGAGAACCGUCAGCGCUUUCGCGAGGAGUUGGCUAGAAGGAUCAAGCGUAUGAAGAUCUAGAUGAUGGCCGUCCCGAUUAUACGGGGAUGAGAUGAGAUGCGAGCUUGACGAAGUGGCUUCCUGAUACUUGAGUCCCUGUUGUAGUUGGAGGGACGAUGCACCUUGGAAUGCGAGAGCGUUAAAGUCAUCUGUUACAAGACUGUGGUGGAGGACUGGUUCCUUUACAGGGUAGGUGGGUUUGGGGCCAUUAUGUGUUGAUCCCAUUGCUUCAUUUAUAGUAUGGGAACAAAGACUGGCGAUGCUGGCAACGGGCAAUUGAUCUUAAGAGGCCACCAAUAAUUCGGACAUUAACUACCAAGGAAAGAAAGUUCUGCUCACAACUCAGAGAAAGGAAAAGAAAAAGAAGCACAAAGAGCAGCUCACGCCAUUCUAAAUAGUCUGAAGAACUGAUACCACUUUUAUCAACGGGAAAAUCAGAACGUAUGGAGCGCUUAAGAUAAUUGGCCUGCUGAACGGAAAUCUGUGAGACCCAUUAUAUCUAUUGUUGCUACCUUAAAAGCCUCACAAUUGGGGCAUAUAUAUGUAAAUACUGUACAACUAAUUUGUCACCUCCCACCUUGGAAGGAUUUAAGAUCACGUAAAACCGCAGUCGAAGUCGCAAUCCUGCAGCAAUAAUAUCAUUCCAUGUCGUCACCUUGAAGGUCGAGCCAAGCCACCAAACAGCGGCACAGG
rnacentral:sRNA from 1 species